GUGAGUAGUUCAGAGUUUGAUCCUGGCUCAGGACGAACGCUGGCGGCGUGCCUAACACAUGCAAGUCGAACGGAGUUAAGACUUCGGUUUUAACUUAGUGGCGAACGGGUGAGUAACGCGUGAGGAACCUGCCUUUCAGUGGGGGACAACAGUUGGAAACGACUGCUAAUACCGCAUAACAUGUACGGAUCGCAUGGUCUGUACAUCAAAGCUUUAUGUGCUGAAAGAUGGCCUCGCGUCUGAUUAGAUAGUUGGUGAGGUAACGGCUCACCAAGUCGACGAUCAGUAGCCGGUCUGAGAGGAUGAACGGCCACAUUGGGACUGAGAUACGGCCCAG
rnacentral:rRNA from 1 species